rnacentral:rRNA from 1 species
GACGAACGCUGGCGGCGUGCUUAACACAUGCAAGUCGAACGGAAAGGCCCUGCUUUUGUGGGGUGCUCGAGUGGCGAACGGGUGAGUAACACGUGAGUAACCUGCCCUUGACUUUGGGAUAACUUCAGGAAACUGGGGCUAAUACCGGAUAGGAGCUCCUGCUGCAUGGUGGGGGUUGGAAAGUUUCGGCGGUUGGGGAUGGACUCGCGGCUUAUCAGCUUGUUGGUGGGGUAGUGGCUUACCAAGGCUUUGACGGGUAGCCGGCCUGAGAGGGUGACCGGCCACAUUGGGACUGAGGUACGGCCCAGACUCCUACGGGGGGCAGCAGGGGGGAAUAUUGCACAAUGGGCGGAAGCCUGAUGCAGCAACGCCGCGUGCGGGAAGACGGCCUUCGGGUUGGAAACCGCUUUCGCCUGUGACGAAGCGUGGGUGACGGUAAUGGGUAAAGGAGCAACGGCUAAAUACGUG